AACGAACGCUGGCGGCAUGCCUAACACAUGCAAGUCGAACGAGACCUUCGGGUCUAGUGGCGCACGGGUGCGUAACGCGUGGGAACCUGCCCUUAGGUUCGGAAUAACUCCCCGAAAGGGGUGCUAAUACCGGAUAAUGUCUUCGGACCAAAGAUUUAUCGCCUUUGGAUGGGCCCGCGUUGGAUUAGCUAAUUGGUAGGGUAAAAGCCUACCAAGGCGACGAUCCAUAGCUGGUCUGAGAGGAUGAUCAGCCACACUGGGACUGAGACACGGCCCAGACUCCUACGGGAAGCAGCAGUGGGGAAUAUUGGACAAUGGGCGAAAGCCUGAUCCAGCAAUGCCGCGUGAGUGAUGAAGGCCUUAGGGUUGUAAAGCUCUUUUACCCGGGAUGAUAAUGACAGUACCGGGAGAAUAAGCUCCGGCUAACUCCGUG
rnacentral:rRNA from 1 species